rnacentral:rRNA from 1 species
GGUGUGGGGGACAUUCCACGUUUUCCGCGCCGUAGCUAACGCAUUAAGUGCCCCGCCUGGGGAGUACGGCCGCAAGGCUAAAACUCAAAGGAAUUGACGGGGGCCCGCACAAGCGGCGGAGCAUGCGGAUUAAUUCGAUGCAACGCGAAGAACCUUACCAAGGCUUGACAUGAACCGGAAAGACCUGGAAACAGGUGCCCCGCUUGCGGUCGGUUUACAGGUGGUGCAUGGUUGUCGUCAGCUCGUGUCGUGAGAUGUUGGGUUAAGUCCCGCAACGAGCGCAACCCUCGUUCUAUGUUGCCAGCGGUUCGGCCGGGGACUCAUAGGAGACUGCCGGGGUCAACUCGGA